rfam:Hepacivirus hominis isolate 364797 polyprotein gene, complete cds
CCAUUGCCGUCCGCGGCCCAGCUGGAUUUAUCCGGCUGGUUCACGAGCGGAUACAGCGGGGGAGACGUAUAUCACAGCGCGUCUCGAGCCCGGCCCCGCUGGUAUUUCUUUUGCCUACUCCUACUUUCAGUAGGGGUAGGCAUCUACCUCCUCCCCAACCGAUGAACGGUUGGGUAA